UGGCAGGUGGCCGGUGGCACCUCCCUUCGGGGUUGGGUUGCCGGCUGUUAGCCGAGUUGUCACACGGCUCGUUCCCUGACCGUGGCAAUAAAGAGGCCCAGGACUGGGCUUCGUCGUCUCCUCCCAAAUGGUAGCGUGUGAAGAAGCGUUGGCAGGGGUACGGUUAAUUGCGGGCGCACGGACUGACUCCGUGGCCCGGCGACUCACCGACCUCGUUGGCUGCGCAAGGCACGCGGGAGUGCAGUGACGGUUUGCGGCGAGUAGAUCGGUCACCCACCUGACCCGUCUUGAAACACGGACCAAGGAGUGC
rnacentral:rRNA from 1 species